rnacentral:rRNA from 1 species
UACGUAGGGUGCAAGCGUUGUCCGGAAUUAUUGGGCGUAAAGAGCUCGUAGGCGGUCUGUCGCGUCGGAUGUGAAAAUCCAGGGCUCAACCCUGGACCUGCAUUCGAUACGGGCAGACUAGAGUUCGGUAGGGGAGACUGGAAUUCCUGGUGUAGCGGUGAAAUGCGCAGAUAUCAGGAGGAACACCGAUGGCGAAGGCAGCUCGCUGGGACGGUACUGACGCUGAGGCGCGAAAGCGUGGGGAGCAAACAGG